rnacentral:tRNA from 4 species
CGGGGUAUAGCGCAGUCUGGUAGCGCAUCUGCUUUGGGAGCAGAGGGUCGUUGGUUCGAAUCCAGCUGCCCCGACCA